rnacentral:rRNA from 1 species
UACGGGGGGUGCGAGCGUUGUCCGGAAUCACUGGGCGUAAAGGGCGCGUAGGUGGUUUGAUAAGGGUGUGGUGAAAGUCCGGGGCUCAACCCCGGAUCUGCCGUGCCGACUGUCAAACUCGAGGGCUGUAGAGGCAGACGGAAUUCCGGGUGUAGCGGUGGAAUGCGUAGAGAUCCGGAGGAAGACCGGUGGCGAAGGCGGUCUGCUGGGCAGUUUCUGACACUGAGGCGCGACAGCGUGGGGAGCAAACAGGG